UACAGGGGGGGGGCAAGCGUUGUUCGGAAUUACUGGGCGUAAAGGGUCUGUAGGUGGCUUGCUAAGUCAGACGUGAAAUCCCUCAGCUUAACUGGGGAACUGCGUCUGAUACUGGCGAGCUUGAGUGCAGGAGAGGAACGCGGAAUUCCAGGUGUAGCGGUGAAAUGCGCAGAUAUCGGGAGGAACACCUAUGGCGAAGGCAGCUCGCUGGGACGUUACUGACGCUGAGACGCGAAAGCGUGGGGAGCAAACAGG
rnacentral:rRNA from 1 species